GACGAACGCUGGCGGCGUGCUUAACACAUGCAAGUCGAACGAUGAAGCUAGAGCUUGCUCUGGUGAAUUAGUGGCGAACGGGUGAGUAACACGUGAGUAACCUGCCCCGAACUCUGGGAUAACUGCUGGAAACGGUAGCUAAUACUGGAUACGACCUACGAAGGCAUCUUCUGUAGGUGGAAAGAAUUUCGGUUCGGGAUGGACUCGCGGCCUAUCAGCUUGUUGGUGAGGUAAUGGCUCACCAAGGCGACGACGGGUAGCCGGCCGGAGAGGGUGACCGGCCACACUGGGACUGAGACACGGCCCAGACUCCUACGGGAGGCAGCAGUGGGGAAUAUUGCACAAUGGACGCAAGCCUGAUGCAGCAACGCCGCGUGAGGGAUGACGGCCUUCGGGUUGUAAACCUCUUUUAGUAGGGAAGAAGCGAAAGUGACGGUACCUGCAGAAAAAGCACCGGCUAACUACGUGCCAGCAGCCGCCGUAA
rnacentral:rRNA from 1 species